UGAGGGCCUUGGAGGGUGGGCCGCCUGGGGCAGCUGGAGUUGAGGAGGAUGUAGCUGUUACCAGAGCCACUGAACAGACCAGGGAGGGAUCGGGGAAGAAGCGCCCCCAACUCCUUCUCUUCACACCCCUCAUCUACUGCUGGGCGGGCAGCCAGUUGCAAGACAGCAGGCCAGCCAGGGCAGGAGCAGGGCAGAGGAGGUGGAGGACCAGAGCGGCCAGCACAGAAAACCAAAUCCCAGCUCUCUGGGCUACAGGUUCCUGUUGGAGGACACGGAUCAAAAAACAGGCUUAUAUCCGAUUCUACUGGGAGCCGUUCUAUUCAUGAAGCAUCUUCUGUUUGCUCUCUAGACGGGGAACGGGCUGAGGAAGCUCCAGGAAACAGG